GGUGAACGCUGGCGGCGUGCCUAAUACAUGCAAGUCGAGCGAACGGACGAGAAGCUUGCUUCUCUGAUGUUAGCGGCGGACGGGUGAGUAACACGUGGAUAACCUACCUAUAAUACUUGGAUAACUUCGGGAAACCGGAGCUAAUACCGGAUAAUAUUUUGAACCGCAUGGUUCAAAAGUGAAAGACGGUUUUGCUGUCACUUAUAGAUGGAUCCGCGCUGCAUUAGCUAGUUGGUAAGGUAACGGCUUACCAAGGCAACGAUGCAUAGCCGACCUGAGAGGGUGAUCGGCCACUCUGGAACUGAGACACGGUCCAGACUCCUACGGGAGGCAGCAGUAGGGAAUCUUGCGCAAUGGGCGAAAGCCUGACGGAGCAACGCCGCGUGAGUGAUGAAGGUCUUCGGAUCGUAAAACUCUGUUAUUAGGGAAGAACAUAUGUGUAAGUAACUGUGCACAUCUUGACGGUACCUAAUCAGAAAGCCACGGCUAACUACGUG
rnacentral:rRNA from 1 species